rnacentral:tRNA from 1 species
AGACCCGUGAAGCCACUGUCGGAAAUCACCCCAGUCGAGCCUCCUAAGCUGUCGGUCGUGGGUUCGAAUCCCACCGGGUCCG